CACCGGGAAAGAGUUUUAAAUAUAAAAUGACAUCUAAUUGCCUAAAAAACAGCCCCAAAACAUCAAAAUAGUGGCCGACGAAGAGGAAUACAUUACAUGGACACAAGAAAGGCAUAUGUUGACGUUUUGCUGUAUUUAUAAAAAAAAGAACAAAAAUGGCAAAAAAGAAACCCAAGUCUAGCCAAAGCAGGACCAGUACCAGUAAAAAGGAUGAGAAAAUAGAUGACCUGUCCAGUUCCUCUGGUAGUGAAAAACAUGGGAAAUCCAUUGACCAGUUUCAUGUUAAGACUUCUAGGAGCACUGAAAGAGAGGAAAGUUACUCCAGCCAUAUCAAAAAGGACAAAAAAGGAAAACCUGGACUGAGUAAAAUAUGUGUUGCGAUUACCAGCAUCCUUGUCAUAUUUGUUGCUUUAUUUGCUUAUAAUGUCUUUAACAAGUGGCAGCUAACCAACCGAGUUGUGACUCCACACCCAGCUCCAUGGAUUCUUGACCUGAACAGCACGAGCCCCAGUGUUUCACCUGAAAAAUUCUGGGGUUCUUACAGGCCUCAAGUGUACUUUGGAAUGAAAACACGAAGCCCAAAGUCUAUUGUUACAGGACUGAUGUGGAUGCAUCAGUUUGGCAUUGAAGGACAGCUACGGCACAACUGCGAACAGGGUGACGGGCUUCCCCGUUAUGGCUGGCUCAUGCAUGAUGGAGUACACUUUGGGGUGCAAGAGAUAGUUGACUUUGGUUUCUCACUAACAACUGAAUUUUUGAAAAGGCCGGGUGGCCUUCAUGGUGGAGACUGGACAUGGAGAAUCACAGCAAAACAGAGUGAAGCUCCUGUGAUCUCCUUGCUGUUUUAUGUGGCCACUGAUGGACAAGGUAUUCUCCAGCCUCAUGUAGAAGGACAAGGUAGGCUGGCAUAUAUAACAGGAUUCUCUGAAGAACUGGGAGAGUUUAAAGUUAUAUUCCAGAAACCAACUGACAGAGGAAGUAAAGUCCCCAAGUAUGCCAGUUAUAACUAUCUGAAGGCUCAAAGUCCUGGCUUGCACAAGUUGACAGACAUUGUCAAAAGCAGUCUGAGUGGACACUUUGUAUACAGUCCACCAUCUGGCGAGUCCCAGCAUUAUUUUGCUGUUCACACUUACAGACCCCCACCCCAGAAUCAGAUGGAAGAAGGUGGCAAAGAGCAGAGCCAUUUCCUUGUCCACCAAGUCACCUUGCAGGUACCUUUUCAGAUUGAGAUACGAUUUGAAUCUGGUAGCUUCAUUACUCGUCCCAGCCUACUGAUGGGAGAGGUAUUCACUGAGGAAAUGGAAAAACAGAAGGCACUGUUUAAUGAAAGGUUUGAAAAAACAUUCCCACUUCAGGAGAAGGGCUACACACAACAGCAAAUAGUAUUUGCUAAGGCAGCUCUUAGUAACAUGCUGGGUGGUAUGGGCUUCUUCUUUGGCACAUCAGUUGUCCAAUCAAAAUACAAUCCACAUCCUGUAGCUUAUUGGGAAACCCCACUCUAUACAGCUGUUCCAUCCCGAUCAUUCUUUCCACGGGGUUUCCUCUGGGAUGAAGGUUUCCAUCAGCUGCUGAUAAGCAAAUGGGAUCGCGAAAUCUCCAAAGAUGUAAUAGCCCACUGGCUAGAUUUAAUGAAUGUUGAAGGCUGGAUCCCAAGAGAAGUAAUACUGGAUGCAGAAGCUCGCAGCAGAGUCCCACCUGAGUUUAUAGUGCAAAGAAAUGAGAAUGCCAACCCUCCUACGCUGUUCCUGGCUUUACAGAAGAUAAUAGGGAAUCAUAAUCAGGGUGUCACAGAAGCAGACAAAUCAUAUCUCAGAAAGAUCUUCCCAAGGCUAAAAACUUGGUUCAGUUGGUAUAACACCACACAGACGGGUACCUUGCCAUUUACAUAUCGCUGGAGAGGACGGGAUAUAGACACAAACCUUUUCCUGAACCCUAAAACUUUAACAUCAGGGUUGGAUGACUACCCAAGGGCAUCUCAUCCUUCUGAUGAUGAGCGCCAUGUGGAUCUUCGCUGUUGGAUGGCCCUAGCUUCUAGAAUCAUGAGUGAUGUAGCCAUGUUACUAGGAGAGCCUCAUGAAGAGUAUGAAACUUUGCAUGCCGUACUUAGUAACAUUUCAUUGCUAGAGGAGCUCCACUGGUCUGAAGACUUGAAGAUCUUUGCAGAUUAUGGGAAUCACACACCAGCUGUUGUUUUGGAGAGGGAGAAAAUCUUUAUUCAGCCUGGUCAACAAAAAGCUUUCCACCCAUCUCCAAGGCUGGUUCGUGUUGUACGCAGGCAACCAAAGCUUCAGUAUGUCGGGGCUUUUGGUUAUGUCAGUCUUUUUCCUUUCCUACUUCAGCUUCUUCCACCAGACUCACCCAAACUAGAAAAGACUUUCAGAGACAUGCGUAUGGAGAAAAAGCUUUGGACACCUUAUGGCCUGCGAUCACUUUCCAAAUCUAGCCCACUAUACAUGAAACAUAACACAGAGCAUGAUGGGCCGUACUGGCGUGGGGCCAUUUGGAUAAACAUCAACUACUUGGCUGUUCGAGCAUUGUACCAUUAUUCAAAGAUUGAGGGACCAUACAAGCAAAUGGCAGCCUCACUGUACCAGGAGUUGAGGACUAAUGUGAUAACAAAUGUUUAUAGACAGUACAUGACAACAGGCUACAUUUAUGAGCAGUACAAUGACAGCACUGGUGAAGGACAGAGUUCUUUCCCUUUUACAGGUUGGUCUGCGUUGGUGGUUCUUAUGAUGGCGGAAGAAUACUAAAAAUCAGCAGCUGACUGUCACUGGCCUAAUAUGAGAAUAUGUGCGGGCAUUUAGAACUUGAUGAAUAUGGACCUUUUUCUACCUGUUCAAAGUGAAAGAAUCAUAAUGCAGGGCAGAUUGGGCUGCCAGGAGGAGGAAAUGGACCACAGGGUUUGCAAUGUCAUGGUGAAUCACUUUGGAGACAGCAAGCAGGAUUUAAACAUGUUGGUACAGCUGCACGUUUUGUUUUUUUGCAACAGUUCAUAAUGGUUGCUGUUCACUUUCAACACAAACCCAUCUAGAAAUGUACUAAAACAUUUCAAAUUAGAAAUAACUCAAUUUCAGUGCCAUUUACACCCUUGUGUUGCUAACUUUUUUUCACAAGAAAUAUAAUAAACAUCAAGUACUGUGACAUUUGACUGCUUACUGAAUACUGAGGCCAUAAAGUGGUACACAGAGGUAAAUUCACUUUAUUGCAUAUGAAAAGUUUUUGUAAUAGGAAUAUGGCUUAUGUGUACUAGACAAACAUGUUUCUCUUACCUUCAGGUUACAGUGUGUCCUUUUAGAAUGGUAGGAAGUACAUUAAAAGACUGUAAGUGUACAUUAAAACAACAUAUUUCAGGCUCAUGCUAAGUGGUUGAAAAUACUGAAGUCAAAGCAAGGAUAGAAAUGUAACAAACAUUUUCUUAAAAUGAAGAAAAUUGAGAUGUUCACCAUACUUGUAGACUGUUUUCUUAACUUGUGAACCAAUGGUGCUGCUUAAAUGUCACAAAGCCACCACAAACACACACAAACCUUGUUGAGAGAAGUCAGUGAAAUUUAUUAACUGACAAUAGUAAGGUGUAGCAUUGUUAAUGUGUAAUAUAUUUGUUUACAAAAAUUGAGAGUAUGACUAAUUUUUGAAAAAGUGCAUAUAUUAUGGGUAUGUAGGAGCAUCUUUUUGUACACUCUAACUUCUAACUACUAAGUAUGUUAUUGUGUCUGGUUGAGGUAUUUACAUUUCUUUGAAAAAUUUAUU